GACGAAGGGGGCUAGCGUUGUUCGGAAUUACUGGGCGUAAAGCGAGUGUAGGUGGUUUUCCAAGUUGGAUGUGAAAGCCUUGAGCUCAACUCAAGAAAUGCAUUCAGGACUGGGAGACUAGAGGACCGGAGAGGAUAGUGGAAUUCCCAGUGUAGUGGUGAAAUACGUAGAGAUUGGGAAGAACACCAGUGGCGAAGGUGGCUAUCUGGACGGUUUCUGACACUAAGACUCGAAACGGUGGGGAGCAAACAGGGA
rnacentral:rRNA from 1 species